AUGGAGGGCCUUCUACAUUGGGACUUCUCGCCCGGCCUCGCGGUCGCAGCUCAGGUGCAUCGACGUUUUGGAUCUUCUGUGCAUUUCUCCCCCGAUGGAUCGACCAAGGAGUUUUUUUUGGUUGUGUACUUUUCAUCGGCCUCCUUCUCUUUGACUGAAGAAUCAGUGGCCAUUGCUCUACAAUGCUGCAUCGGAGGUUUACCUUCUGGUCUUAAUGUGCAACAUAUUGAGGGUAGAUCUUUUCACUUUUCUGUGGCGUCCAGUCGUGUGGGACAUUAUGUCUAUGGCCUCAAGGAUCGAAUUUGGGCGGACUUUGUUUGUCAUUUUCAACCUAUCGCCCUAGUUACAUUCGAUCAAAGUGUUUGGACAAUGUUUGGCAUUCUGAUGUUCAUAGCCCUGAGGUGGCUUCUCGUUCCCCGAUUGCAAUAA
rnacentral:rRNA from 1 species